GUAGGUUUAAAUUUUUCAUAAGAAGAACAGUUCACAAUUUAAAAUACUAAACCCUUUUUCCUUAAUGGAGUUUUCUCCCUCCUAACUUCAUGUUUGUUCAGUGGAAUUAUGUAAACUAUAAUCAGAUAUACAAAAAUAUAUAAUUGAAUCAGAGUUUCCUGUGUGGAGAUGUUUCAAAACAAAACAAAAGCCUUCAAGUAGUGGUAUCCUGUAAAUACUUCAAAGGGAUUCCCACCAAAAUGUUCCCCCUUGGCUUGUUACAAAUUCAGUGUAUCCUGUGGGCAUGUGCUAACAGAUAUGAGAGAUGGGGACUGGAGUGUCUCUUUUCUUUUUCUUUCCCAUUUAAACCAAAUACCUUCUGGUAACCAUUCCCUAACUAAUCAAAGUUUAAAAUCUAGUUAAUUGAAGAUGUUUAUAUUUUUUGUUCCUAAAAAUUAUACUGACUAUAUUGACACAGCAUGGGUUUUCCCUUGUACCGGGAUUGAAGAUCUACCCCCAAUAGACUGAAGAUCUUGCCACUGUCCUGGUCUGACCAUCUCUUCUACCAGCAGAUAUCAGCUCUUCUCAUCCAAAAGUUGGACCAUUCAGGGAGAACUCAAAGGAAGGAACAGAGCUUAUGUCCUGGGAUUCUUAGGUGUCUCCUCUCUGCAUGAAGUAUUCAACAGAGUGUUGCAAAAGUCUGGAUGUACUAUGGAGCCUCCAAAAUAUUUUUUACUGUAAGUUUUGAAUAUUUUCUGUUAACUCUCUUGCACUAUUUACUGUGGUGUCUAGAAGUAUUUAGUCUAUUUAUGCAAAUUUGACAAUCUGUAAGAGAAUUGUUUUGUUUAGUAGUUUUUAAAGGUUCCAUUUACGGUAGCAUCUGGGCACAGUUUAUAUAGGUAAAAACAAUACCAUACAAUAGCAUCUCCAAAAUGAGAAAAAUAUACUUUGACUAUAUAACAAUGAACCCAGCAGCAGCAGUAGUCUAUGAGGAGAUUCCAAGAACAGCAUUAAUGGAACACUUUGCUUCUCUGGGGUCAGCUUUGGCAUGUAUCUUGUAGGACUGAAUUUCAGGGGUGACAUUCUGCUACUAGGAAUGCCUUGUACCUGCAGACUUUACAAUAGAGAUUUGAUAGCCUAAGCUUUCCUUCCAAAUGCUUUUAUCAUUGGUAGGCACUGGGGGAAGAAGGGAUACCAAUGCUAAUGACCACUAGGAAUCAGGAAGGGAAAUUUCUUUCUGUAUAGCAGUGCAUGGUUGGAUACAUGCAUAAUCACGGUGGGAGUUACUCCCUGUCAAGCUUCGGGGUAGUGCUGGAGGCAGACUAGCAGAGCAAACAAACUUAUUCCUAGAGCUUUAAAAAUUAGUUUAGCAUAAAAUAAACUGGCAGUAAAUCAUGGUUUUAAGAGUUUUGUAUCCAUAGACCACUGACACCACUCAUUUAGUAAUCAGAAAUGUUUGUCCAAAUAAAAAAACUACAUAAUCUCGUAGUAUGUGUAUUCUUGUUCUGGAGCAGACUAAAAAAGGACUUGAUUAGUUGUCACUCUGCCUCUAAUUAUCUUGCAUCUCAGUCAUAUCUCCUGUAUCCUAUUCCAAGCAAAUUGCUUUCGGGUGUGUGUGUGCGCGUGCAAUAUUUAGCUGUUGUAUGGUGCUUUUCAUCUGUAGAGCUUAAAGUGCUUUGCAAAGAAAGAAACUCUCUCUAAUGUAACUGGAGCAAGGUCGUGCAGCAGGUCAGUGUCAGAACUGGAGAUAUUUGGCUCCACGCAUUUAGAAGAUUUGCAGACACACUAGGUAGAGCUUGCAAGUUUCUUGAAUCAGACUCUUUGGUCUGGUCUACACUAUGAGUUUAGGUUGAAUUUAGCAGCGUUAAAUCGAAUUAAC